rnacentral:rRNA from 1 species
AUGGCAACCUACGCCGUCCCGCUGCCUUGUGCCGUGCUGUUGCUCCCCUCUCCUAUCCCGCUACCACUUGCUGUACAUCUACUGCAUCCGGCAAACUUCUGCUGCUACAACGCCAGCAAUUCGUGCCGCGUUCAUCCUGCCUCUUCUUAUUAUUUUUGUCGCGGGGAUCCCCUGAUGUUUAACUGGCUGGGCAAUCGGACCAAGAUGAUCUCCUUUCUUCGAGGAUCCCUUAUCUUGGAGAUACAUCGUAUCCGUGGGAAGAUCUACCUUCGGCGGCUCAGUUGA